GACAGAGGAUGCAAGCGUUAUCCGGAAUGAUUGGGCGUAAAGCGUCUGUAGGUGGCUUUUAAGUCUGCCGUCAAAUCCCAGGGCUUAACCCUGGACAGGCGGUGGAAACUACCAAGCUGGAGUACGGUAGGGGCAGGAGGGAAUUUACGGUGUAGCGGUGAAAUGCGUAGAUAUCGUAAGGAAGACCAGUGGCGAAGGCGGGUCUCGUGGACAGUUCCUGACGCUGAGGCACGAAGGCCAGGGGAGCAAACGGG
rnacentral:rRNA from 1 species